AUAUAAGGCUGUGCCCAGCGCUUUUGGAAGCAGUAAGUCCAGCCCGAGGCUAAGGUGAGAGCGUCUGCCGGGACAGUGUGGCUGGACCCACGUGGCAGGUGCGAGGCAGGGUCACUGCGGAUGGGAGAGAAGGCGUAGAGGCCUCAGGCCUUGUGGGGUGUCACCUAGAGAUGCCCCAGGAGGGCUGGGGGGCCGGGGUGUUUCCAGUGAAGCCAGUUGGCAUCCUGGCCGCUCUCUCCGAGUGGAAGGCAGAGGGAAAUAAUUGUAUUCACGCAGGGUGGAUCGGGCGGAGGCCGUCAAGCUAGCCGGAAGGGGCUGUGCUGUCAACCAGCGAGCGCAGGUGGCCUGGUGUAGACCCCGGGAGGCUGGGCGGGGACGCUGGGCGGGGACCUGGUUGAGGACCUGGGCGGGGACACUGGGUGGAAACCCUGGGUGGGCACGCUGGGCGGGGACUCUACAGGGCUCUCCCUCUGGGUAGUCACAUUCACUUGUUGAGUUGGGUGUCCAUCUCCUCUGCAUGUGGAUUUUACUGACUUCUUAUAAUUGUCCUUGGUAGAAAUCAGUGAUAGUUUAUUCAGAACUGGGG
ensembl:lncRNA LINC00668 long intergenic non-protein coding RNA 668